CUUUCAAGCGGGCCCUACUUUUCCUAUUUUUCCUACUUUUCCCUACUUUUUUUGUUUGACCCCUACUUUUCCCUACUUUUUUUUUUGAAAUGCCCUACUAUCCCUACUUUUUAAAGAAAAAAGCUCGAGGAUAAUUGAUUAAAAAACCAGUAUAAGUAGUAGAUUGAUUUUGAUAUAAUCUUUAUCUCAAAUUAAAUAAGAAUCAGAUGCUAGUUUAAUUGUAGGAAAAAGUUGAUGGAAGUACAGGUCAUCAGUGGUGCAAGAGGGGUUCCAUGAUGAGGAUGGUUGGAGCUGACAUGGCAGAAUCAGCGACUUUAGGUUCAUGUCCAGAUUCAUCCUGUUGUGGAAUCCCUAUUGAGACACUGGUGACUGGUUUCCUAAAUGAAGAAAAUGCCAUGGAUAUUAGUUGAUAAGGGUCUGUAUUUGUUUUUGCAUCAACUUUGGAAAAAAGGU